AGCUUUGCGCAGUGGCGAUAUCGUAACCAAUGAGGUUCUACCGAGGUGCGAUUAUUGCUAGUUGAAAGGUCCCGGAGGUACUGGACGGCGUCCAGUGUGGACCUUCCGGGCCUGAAGCCGUAUUGACGG